CCUACGGGAGGCUGUAGUGGGGAAUAUUGCACAAUGGGCGAAAGCCUGAUGCAGCAACGCCGCGUGAGCGAUGAAGGCCUUCGGGUCGUAAAGCUCUGUCCUCAAGGAAGAUAAUGACGGUACUUGAGGAGGAAGCACCGGCUAACUACGUGCCAGCAGCCGCGGUAAUACGUAGGGGGCUAGCGUUAUCCGGAAUUACUGGGCGUAAAGUGUGUGUAGGUGGUUACUUAAGGCAGAGGUAAAAGGCUACGGCUAAACCGUAGUAAGCCAUUGAAACUGGUGAACUUGAGUGCAGGAGAGGAGAGUGGAAUUUCUAGUGUAGCGGUGAAAUGCGUAGAUAUUAGGAGGAACACCAGUAGCGAAGGCGGCUCUCUGGACUGUAACUGACACUGAGGCACGAAAGCGUGGGGAGCAAACAGGAUUAGAUACCCUAGUAGUC
rnacentral:rRNA from 1 species